rnacentral:tRNA from 1 species
GGGAUUGUAGCUCAGUGGUUGAGCACUUGUCUUGCAUGCAUGAGGUACUGGGUUCGAUCCUCAGCGUCACA